UUGUCUUGUAAAUGGAAUGAUGGGAAUCUAAACCCUUCCCAGAGUAUCAAUUGGAGGGCAAGUCUGGUGCCAGCAGCCGCGGUAAUUCCAGCUCCAAUAGCGUAUAUUAAAGUUGUUGCAGUUAAGAAGCUCGUAGUUGAAUUUCUGCCUUGUCAUUAAUCUCGCUUCCGAGCGUUUUUUUAUUGACUUGGCAUCUUCUGGAUUUGGUGCCUUCGGGUACUAUUUUCCAGGAUUUACUUUGAGAAAACUAGAGUGUUUCAAACAGGCAUUCGCCUUGAAUACUACAGCAUGGAAUAAUGAAGUAGGACUUUGGUUCUAUUUUGUUGGUUAUUGAGCCAGAGUAAUGGUUAAUAGGAGCAGUUGGGGGCAUUCGUAUUUAACUGUCAGAGGUGAAAUUCUUAGAUUUGUUAAAGACGAA
rnacentral:rRNA from 1 species